CUCAUCAAGACCGACCGAGGGACAGGCCCUUUGACGUCGGGGCAACCCAGAAGGUGCCAAAUCCUGCGGCGAAAGUCGGAAGAUGAG
rnacentral:ncRNA from 1 species